GGGGGGGGGGGGGGGGGGGGGGGGGGGGGGGGGGGGGGGGGGGUUCCUGGUGGGUUCCUGGUGGGUUUCUGGUGGUUCUGUAGGGUUGGGAUGGGUUCUUGAUGGGUUCCUGGUGGGUUCCUGGUGGGUUCCUGGUGGGUUUCUGGUGGUUCUGUAGGGUUGGGAUGGGUUUUUGGUGGGAUCCUGGUGGGUUGUUGGUGGGUUCUUGGUGGUUCUGUAGGGUUGGGAUGGGUUGUUGGUGGGUUGUUGGUGGGUUCCUGGUGGUUCUGUAGGGUUGGGAUGGGUUCCUGGUGGGAUCCUGGUGGGUUGUUGGUGUGUUCUUGGUGGUCCUGUAGGGUUGGGAUGGGUUGUUGGUGUCUGGUGGUCCUGUAGGGUUGGGAUGGGUUCUUGAUGGGUUCCUGGUGGUUCUGUGGGGUCAGGAUGGGGUUCUUGGUGGAUUUCUGGUGGUUCUGUAGGGUUGGGAUGGGUUCCUGGUGGGAUCCUGGUGGGUUCCUGGUGGGUUCCUGGUGAUCCCCCGUGGUUCUGUGGGGUCAGGAUGGGGUUGUUGUGGGUUCCUGGUGGUUCUGUGGGGUUGGGAUGGUUCCUGGUGGGUUCCUGGUGGUUCUGUGGGGUCAGGAUGGGAUCCUGGUGGGUUCCUGGUGGGAUCCUGGUGGUUCUGUGGGGUCAGGAUGGGGUUCUUGUGGAUUCCUGGUGGUUCUGUGGGGUCAGGAUGGGGUUCUUGGUGGUUCCUGGUGGUUCUGUGAGGUCAGGAUGGGAUCCUGGUGGGAUCCUGGUGGUUCUGUGGGGUCAGGAUGGGAUCCUGGUGGUUUUAGGGACUCCUGUGGGGCCAGGAUGUUCUGCUGACCCCGCACCUUCCCCUUGCCCUCGCCAGGACCCGUCUCUGCUCAACAACCGCGUCCUGCUGCACCACGCCAAGGGCGGCACCGUCAUCGCCCGCCAGGGGGACCAGGACGUCAGCCUGCACUUUGUGCUCUGGGGCUGCCUCCACGUGUACCAGCGCAUGAUCGACAAGGAGGAGGGUCCCACUGACCACAGACUGACCACACUGACCCACACUGACCCAAACUGACCCCAGACUGACCCCAGACUGACCACACUGACCCACACUGACCCAGCCUGCACUUUGUGCUCUGGGGCUGUCUCCACGUGUACCAGCGCAUGAUCGACAAGGAGGAGGGUCCCACUGACCACAGACUGACCACACUGACCCACACUGACCCAAACUGACCCCAGACUGACCAGACUGACCCCAAACUGACCAGACUGACCCCAAACUGAAUAAAUCCCAAGUCUUCUG
rnacentral:lncRNA from 12 species